rnacentral:lncRNA from 1 species
AACUCAAGGUUCUGCUCUGUUUCCUGUCACAAGAGCUGGGGUGUGGAGACCUCAGCUUCUUUCACCACACAGGGGAAGCCUGAGCUCAGUGUGUGAGGAGGUUGGGCCGCCGUCUCCUAGACUGCAGUCCAGCAGUGCCUACUCUUCUCUCUCCAGGACCUUCCCUCUGCCACUUCAACUCGCCCCGUCCUUCCCCAGCACCAUCAUCCAUAAUUUUGUCUCAACACUGAGAGCAACUGUGCUCUGCAGGGGCAGAGAAGGAAACCCAAAGGAAGACCCUGAAGUGGCAGGAGUCGGAAGGGAGGAGGGUGGGGCUCCUCCUCAAGCCCCUUCUUUAUAGCAUUUCCAGGUUCAGAUAAACUUGUGCUAGCUCAUC